GACAGCACCCUCCUCCAGAGAGUACUAUGUGUGUUUGGGAACAUCCUCUCAGGACCCAGCUGUGAGAUUCCCCGCUCUCCUCAGCCCCUUUGAGGAUGGUGGCUUCUCUCUAGUCCUGACAACCCCACUCCUGAAGCCCCUCUUCCUCCUGCCUGCAGUUCUCCCUCCCAGCUCCAGCCUUCACCCCCCACCCGCCAGCCCAAGCCCAUAUCCAUGUUCCAGGGUGUUUUGGUUCAAUCUGCCCAGGGUUCCUGCAGCGUUAACCCAGCUGGGAGGUGUGAUUCUUGCAUCCAAAGGAUGCCUGCCUGGCCCUCAGUAACACAUGGGGGUGGGGAUUGGACUUUAGACACGUAGCCUCUGGAGGGGGCUGCUUCAGAAAAGUCCCUGAUAGUGAUUUGACACUUUUAAGAUAGGGAGACAAUAUACAGCCUUGAACAAGU
rnacentral:lncRNA from 1 species